AGAAUCAACGCUGGCGGCGUGCCUAACACAUGCAAGUCGAACGAGAAAGGGUAGCAAUACCUGAGUAAAGUGGCGCACGGGUGAGUAACACGUGACUAACCUACCUUUUAGUGGGGGAUAACCUAGGGAAACCUGGGCUAAUACCGCAUAAUACCUACGGGUCAAAGGAGCAAUUCGCUUUAGGAGGGGGUCGCGGCAGAUUAGUUAGUUGGCGGGGUAAUGGCCCACCAAGACAGUGAUCUGUAUCC
rnacentral:rRNA from 1 species